rnacentral:misc_RNA from 1 species
GUGAAUCAUCAAAUUUUUGAACGCAAAUUGCACUCUCUUCGGAGAGUAUGCCUGUUUGAGGGUCAGCCUAUAAAAAAUCGACGUCGUUGCUGUUUCGCGGUGACAUUCGUCGGAAAUUGGGUCAUCUUAAAUCCUUUGGGUUUUAAGCGGCUUUAAAAUUUCUUUUUCGUUCCAUGAACGUUUCUUAGGUUUUUAUCUUUUCACGACGAA